CAGUGGCGAACGGGUGAGUAACACGUGGGCAAUCUGCCCUGCACUCUGGGACAACACCGGGAAACCGGUGCUAAUACCGGAUAUGACGCAUCUCUGCAUGGGGGUGCGUGGAAAGCUCCGGCGGUGCAGGAUGAGCCCGCGGCCUAUCAGCUUGUUGGUGGGGUGAUGGCCUACCAAGGCGACGACGGGUAGCCGGCCUGAGAGGGCGACCGGCCACACUGGGACUGAGACACGGCCCAGACUCCUACGGGAGGCAGCAGUGGGGAAUAUUGCACAAUGGGCGAAAGCCUGAUGCAGCGACGCCGCGUGAGGGAUGACGGCCUUCGGGUUGUAAACCUCUUUCAGCAGGGAAGAAGCGCAAGUGACGGUACCUGCAGAAGAAGCACCGGCUAACUACGUGCCAGCAGCCGCGGUAAUACGUAGGGUGCGAGCGUUGUCCGGAAUUAUUGGGCGUAAAGAGCUCGUAGGCGGCCUGUCGCGUCGGAUGUGAAAGCCCGGGGCUUAACCCCGGGUCUGCAUUCGAUACGGGCAGGCUAGAGUUCGGUAGGGGAGAUCGGAAUUCCU
rnacentral:rRNA from 1 species